rnacentral:lncRNA from 1 species
UUACCGUGUACUGAUAAGGGUUUAAAGACGACACGUGUUGAUGAAAGUCUGUGUUUUCACAAGUUUGCGGUUAAUUGGAGCAGGAGUGAUUGGAUUAUAAUUAGUUAAAGAUUAUAAUUAGUCUCUGCAACGAAAUGGGAUAACAGUUGGUGACGGAAUGCAUGGGCUCUUUCAUCACUCUUCUCCCUUGAAGAAGACCGGGCGGUUAUUGAAUGGGCACAGGCGAAAGCCACCCUUACCACAGAUGAACACUUUGCGCACCAUGGAGUGGAUUGUUGGUAAUCUGUCCGAGUCUCACCCAAACCUGAGCAAAGUCGCUACAGUGGGACUGCUUCUACCAACCUCCACAGCUGAUUGUGAGAGAGGUUUCAGCAGUUGAAUGUGUAAAGACCACCGACCAUUCACCGGUGAGCAUGAAAGUGCUUAAUGCCUUACUCAUGGUGUCCAUGCAGGGACAAAAAUUGAAUGACUUUAAUUUCAGUGGUGCAGUAAAGGAAUGGCACAGAGCCAAAGACAGACACUUACCAGUAUAUGAA